GGGGAUGGCACGGCCUAAAUCCUCGUUCUUCUUGGAGUUCGCUGGUAGGGUGCCGCCGCCGAUCGUCGGCUUCCGCAAUUCCGGCGGCACAGACGCCGCGGCCCCUACCGCCAGCAUGCUUGGCGAGAUCUGUACUACCGCCCCUCCGCUGCCCCCUUCCCCACCACUUACCUGUCCCGGCUGCGCGCCCUUGGCCGCUAACUCAGCCGAUCCAAGAUCCUCGGUGAUGUCAUGGUCUGCUCUGAUCCAGUUCGAAGUGGAUUCGAUCGGAAUUUCUGGCUAACGUGUCAGUACGAGUCGUCUUCGUUUUUACCCUGAUGAGGAUGAAGACAUGAGCUGCAAGCACAUGCUUAAGACCCGACGCUGUAAGAUUGAUGGCAAAUGUACUGUUCUUCAUGGCGAGGCAUGAUUGGAGUUUGCUAUGAUCAGCUUCUUUCUGGUGUUUAAUUCAGUUUGUAAUGUUUGGUACUAGUUGUUUUUUAUCCAGCUGGAUACUACUUUGUUGAAUUUAAAUUGUCAUUCGGUUUGUUUUAGAAAUUUGGCAGCUUAGCUAGGUAUCUUGUUUGAUUCAGAAAUUUUCUUAUUCAGUAAACAAAUUGGAUACUCUUUGUCCUACUAUUGAACCGUUGCCAAGUGAAGUAAUCCUUCGA